UGAGCAACCUGCCCUUAGCUCUGGGAUAACCCCGGGAAACCGGGGCUAAUACCGGAUAUGAGUCCGAGCGGCAUCACGCGGACUGGAAAGUUUUUCGGCUAAGGAUGGGCUCGCGGCCUAUCAGCUUGUUGGUGGGUAAUGGCCUACCAAGGCUUCGACGGGUAGCCGGCCUGAGAGGGCGACCGGCCACACUGGGACUGAGAUACGGCCCAGACUCCUACGGGAGCA
rnacentral:rRNA from 1 species